rnacentral:rRNA from 1 species
GCUUAACACAUGCAAGUCGAGCGAGAAUCGUUUAUUGAAGGCUUCGGCUGGAAAUAGAUGAGGAAAGCGGCGAACGGGUGAGUAACGCGUGGGCAACCUGGCCUUAAGAAAAGGAUAGCCCCCGGAAACGGGGAGUAAUACUUUAUGAGAAUGAGAGAGGGCAUCCUACUUUCAUUCAAAGCGCAAGCGCUUAAGGAUGGGCCCGCGUAUCAUCAGCUAGUUGGUGAGAUAACAGCCCACCAAGGCAACGAUGAUUAGCCGGUCUGAGAGGGCGAACGGCCACAUUGGAACUGAGAGACGGUCCAAACUCCUACGGGAGGCAGCAGUGGGGAAUAUUGCGCAAUGGAGAAGAACUCUGACGCAGCAAUACCGCGUGAGCGAAGAAGGUCUUCGGAUCGUAAAGCUCUGUUAUCAGGGAAGAAGAAAAUGACGGUACCUGAUGAGCAAGUCCCGGCUAACUACGUGCCAGCAGCCGCGGUAACAC